GCUGGGCGCAGUGGCUCACGCCUGUAAUCCCAACACUUUGGGAGGCCGAGGUGGGUGGAUCACCUGAGGUCAGGAGUUCAAGACCAGCCUGGCCAACAUGGUGAAAACCCGCCUCUA
ensembl:misc_RNA Metazoa_SRP Metazoan signal recognition particle RNA